CCUACGGGUGGCAGCAGUCGAGAAUCAUUCACAAUGGGGGAAACCCUGAUGGUGCGACGCCGCGUGGGGGAAUGAAGGUCUUCGGAUUGUAAACCCCUGUCAUGUGGGAGCAAAUUAAAAAGAUCGUACCACAAGAGGUAGAGACGGCUAACUCUGUGCCAGCAGCCGCGGUAAUACAGAGGUCUCAAGCGUUGUUCGGAAUCACUGGGCGUAAGGCGUGCGUAGGCUGUUUCGUAGGUCGUGUGUGAAAGGCGCGGGCUCAACCCGCGGACGGCACAUGAUACUGCGGGGCUAGAGUAAGGGAGGGGGAAGCGAAAUUCCUGGUGUAGCAGUGAAAUGCGUAGAUA
rnacentral:rRNA from 1 species